GGUGGCCGAAUACUUACUCUAAUGGGCUGGCCCAAGCCUGAGUGUCUAGAGUUCCCAGCUCGCUUAAGGAAGGAAGGAAAACACAGGCAGCUCUAAGUGUGCGAUGAGAGAGGUCUCAUCGGCAGUGAGGAAGCCCAGGCGGGUCCCCUUCCCAGCUGAAAGGAGUUCGGAAUUUCACUCUGUCGCCAGGCUGGAAUGCAGUAGGGCAAUCUCAGCUCACUGCAACCUCCACCUCGUGAGUUCAAGUGAUUCUCCUGCUUCAGCCUCCUGAGUAGCUGGGACUACAGCGGUGUCUGCUCCUGGCACCUCAGGCACUGUCAGGGGUAGGAGGUGGUGAUCAGAUAUGCUGGCUGUGAGCAGUGCAAGGGGAAGCAGGUGCCCAGAGGUGCAUCCCGGUUUGGUGGGGGUGACUAACAUGGACAGGUAAGUGCAGGAGUGUGUGCAAUACUCAAUCUAAGAAAGGUAGUUCAGGCAGAGUUCAGGGAAGAUAUCUCUGUAAAGGCCCAGACAUGGGGAUGAGAUUCUGAUAAUUUGG
rnacentral:sRNA from 1 species